CAACCCUCAAGCUCAGCUUGGUAUUGGGUGUCACCUGGCGGUGCACCUUAAAAUCAGUGGCAGGGCCAUCUGGCUUCGAGCGUAGUAACUGUCUCGCUUUGGAGCUCUAGGUGUCUUCCUGCCAUCAACCCCCCAAUUUUUCAAAA
rnacentral:misc_RNA from 1 species